GCCAGGUUUGUGAAAAGUUCUUUGCGAUUUGGAAUUAAGGAGAAACGAUGACAGCGUUUGUUGUCUCGCGUCAGGUUUUUUGGGGUUCACCUGAAACAGUCAUCAAUUAUUGUGUGAAGUGGAUUAGAUGGCUAGAGUAACAAUUAGCACUGUCCCGCUAUAUAUAACAGGUCACAGAAUGUAGCCUCUUUUAACCUUUUUUCGUGUUUUGCUAGUGGAUGAAUUCAUUGUUGUUUAUGAAUUUAUAAAGACAACAAAUUGGCCUUAUAUCCAGGCACAAUGAAAUCUUGAAUGUUGUCACUGGCUUUUGUCACAUCUCGUAUAUUUCAGGCGACGAUUUAUUCAUUGUUUUUGUCAACUCCAGUAGAUAUGAUUUUCGUAGGUCCUGUUGUUGAACCUGUCACUUAUAUUCACUUUAGCAAAUUUAGACUUACAAUUAUUCUUACAAUUUACUUAUACGAUCCGCCAUCAGUAGAUUUCGCGCCAAUUUAACGUGUGUCAUGAAAGUUACUCAAUCACUGGUGAGGUCGACUAGAAAGAGCCAAUGAAACGAAUUGACAAUGAGUAAACUUUUCCAACCUCAACCUAGCCUCCACUCAAUUCUCCUUCUUACAUCUUGCUCAACCCCAACCACUUGUCAACGGCUGUCAAGUUUCGUAUUAAUUCUUGUAACGUCGGUAACAGUGAUAUUGUUUGUAUCCUCAACAGUUAGGUGUAUGAUUAUCCCAAGAUUCAGCUGCAACACCUAAGAUACAAGGUGCAUAGCAUGGUGUAAGGGAUAUAUUUUUGAAAUCGCGCAGAAUUCGUGUACUGUGUUCAUCAGUUUAUUUGCACUCAGAUCAACGCCGCGGCUGCAAUCGUCGAUUAGAAUUGUACGGAAACCGCUUCCUAGGGCAUCUACGGCGGUCGCUCCGACGCAGACAUCGUAC
rnacentral:lncRNA from 1 species